CUCACCAGGUCAGGACACGGUAAGGAUUGACGGACUGAAGGCUCUUUCUCGAUUCCGUGGAAAGUGGUGCAUUGGGCCGUUUUUGGUUGGUGGAUCGAUCCGUCUGGUUAAUUCCGUUAACGAACGAGACCUCGGCACUCCGAAUAGCGCGGCGGACGUCGCGGCCUCCGGGCCGUCUUCCGCACGAGCUUCUUAGAGGGACCGUCCCCCGCCGGGGAAGGAGGUGCGAGGCAACGACAGGUCUGUGAUGCCCUUAGAUGUUCUGGGCCGCACGCGCAUUACACUGACGCGUCCAACGGGUGACUCCCGACCCGAAGGGGCCGGGGAAUCCGCAAGGCGCGUCGUGAUGGGGAUUGAACGUUGCAAUUGUUGUUCACGAACGAGGAAUUCCUAGUAGGCGCGGGUCAUCAACCCCGCGCCGAUUACGUCCCUGCCCUUUGUACACACCGCCCG
rnacentral:rRNA from 1 species